GAUGAACGCUGGCGGCGUGCUUAACACAUGCAAGUCGAACGGAGUUUAUACGGAAGGAGUCUUCGGACAACAAAAGUAUAAACUUAGUGGCGGACGGGUGAGUAACGCGUGGGUAACCUGCCUUAUACAAGGGGAUAACAGAGGGAAACUUCUGCUAAUACCGUAUAAAAAUAUUUCACGCAUGUGAGAUAUUUGAAAGAUUUAUCAGUAUGAGAUGGACCCGCGUCUGAUUAGGUAGUUGGUGAGGUAGAGGCUCACCAAGCCGACGAUCGGUAGCCGAUCUGAGAGGAUGACCGGCCACAUUGGGACUGAGACACGGCCCAAACUCCUACGGGAGGCAGCAGUGGGGAAUAUUGGACAAUGGGGGCAACCCUGAUCCAGCGACGCCGCGUGAGUGAAGAAGUAUUUCGGUAUGUAAAGCUCUAUCGAUAACGGAAGAAGAUGACAAGCCGUUAAGGAAGAAGCCCCGGCUAACUACGUGCCAGCAGCCGCGGUAAUACGUAGGGGGCAAGCGUUAUCCGGAUUUACUGGGUGUAAAGGGAGCGUAGACGGCGAAUAAAGUCUGAAGUGAAAUCCCGCAGCUCAACUGCGGAGUUGCUUUGGAAACUUAUAAGCUGGAGUGUCGGAGGGGUAAGCGGAAUUCCCAGUGUAGCGGUGAAAUGCGUAGAUAUUGGGAGGAACACCGGAGGCGAAGGCGGCUUACUGGAAGAUAACUGACGUUGAGGCUCGAAGGCGUGGGUAGCAAACAGG
rnacentral:rRNA from 1 species